UCUCCCUCCUGACCUUAUUAUCUCCAAAAGUUCCAUCUUCAAAUACCAUCACUUUGGGGAUUAGGGCUUCAACACAUGAAUUUUGAGGGGAUGCAAACAUUCAGCGAAUAAAACCUAGUACAUCUAAUUUCCUACUCAAAAUCUCCACUAGGAUGUCUCUCAGGCCCUUUAAAUUCAACCAUCUAAACCUAACCUCCUAGUUAGGAUUCAGGGAGGGUGGGGGCUUAAAUGGGCCUCAACUCUUCUCUGCUUAUAUCACCAGCUAAUCCACAUGUCCAUACCUAAUUAACUUCAGCAUGCAGCAGGUUGGCAGACUGUUGGGGAGAGAAUGGUUUCUGAGGUUCAUAGAGUCUUGAAGAAGAGAUCUGACACUUUCUUCUGUUUGAUUUCGACAGGAGCUGGGGCCUUUCAUCAGAGAGCUCUGCAGUGAGGAUCAGAGGCAAUUGGUGUGAAUUAUGGUGAGAUUUUGGACACAGAGGUCUUGGGAGGAAAGGUGACAAUGGCUCACAGGAGUGUGGUAUUUUCUCCGGCUCCUAAAGAACUGAGGAACAUCUGAAAGGAAGGUGAAGUUCUUGCUGCCUGUGAGGGCAGCGCCAGCCAAGUCAUGUCCCACAUGAAGUCCUACCACUGCCACUGGUCAUCCUUGCUGCUGCUCAUCACCAGCUUCUAACCAAGCUGCUCCUCCAAGAAGCCCACCAUCUUGGCCCACCACAACCCCAACGCACAAGCAGAAUAUUAUCUUAAUGGUGGCGCUCCAUGGUUUCUUCAGCUGUGGAAGAGUGAAGGACAAAUUUCAUCUAAAGCACUACUCACACUGUACUUACUGCACAAAAGAGGCCAAAUUGGCAUGGCUUUCGACUAUCUCUGCAAAAUCCAUUUGGAUCCAUUUCUGCAACUGUGAUCUACUAUCAACCUGGGGGGCAAAGGAGAAAUCAGCCCCAGGAGCGUGGAAACCACUAUACUUAAAACUAUAUCCUUUGCUUAUUUAUUUCAAGUAAAAGGCCACACAGACACAGAAAAUUAGAAGGCUCGUGAAAUAAGAUUUAAGUUCCAUUCUGGUUACAGGGUCCUCCCUGAUGUUCAAUCCUAGAGGCUAUACCUCCCACUCUUGAAGAAUUUCCAAACCUUCCAGGCCCAGGAGAGUUUUCCAUGUUGAAAGAUUGCAGGAUGGGACCCCAUAACAAUCCCCCAAAAGUUCAGGCUGAAAUUACAUGCAGGCCAAGUCUGUAUGAUGCAGCCCUCUGUAAUUGUUGGGUCUCUUCCAGAAGGCUCUCAACACAUGGGACUCCGAUGAAGUUCAGCAUGUGGAAAGGGCUGAAGCUUGAAGCCUGUGUAUUUGUAAUGGAAACACAGCAGUGACCCCAUGAUCCAGUGCCUUGUGAAGAAGAUGCAUGCUUCCCUUUCUGCCAUGAUUGAAAGUUUCCUGAGGCCUCCCCAGCCUUGCAGAACUGAAAAAGAAGAAUUCUUUAAUUGAAAAAUAGGCAAAGAAUACAAAGAGGCAAAUUACAAAAGGAAAAUAAAC
rnacentral:lncRNA from 10 species